UUUCAUAGGUUCUCCAUUAUGCCAUUGGCCUGAAGUCUUAACUGGAGCCAAGUAUGGUAGAUUUAUGCCCUUAAACCUGCCCAACUAUGAGCCAAGGAUCUGUCAAGUUCCUUUUGAAAAUGUCCCUUGGAUGGUGAUUUAAGAAUCCCUGACAGACACUGUGAACCCCAUCACCCUUGGAACACAGUAUGAUAGGAGAGCCCAUGGGAGCCUCUGCAACAUCCGGGGUAAUGAAAAUGUUAGCUGGAACUCCAGUUUAGCCAAGAGUUUAACUGCAAGGCAUGGUUCAGGGCUCAAAAGGAUGACCCACAUAACGAUCAUGAUGAACACUAUCGAAGUAUGGUUCUCCUGUUCCCAGACCAAUACCUCGGACCACAUUGUCCCAGUCAGAAAGGUUGCCCUAGAUAUUCACAGCUGAGUAAGCUUUGACAAGUCAUCCAGACUUCUGAGGCUCGUGGUAACAGCAACACAUCUCAACAAUCAUCUCAAAGACGACAUGAGAUAACAAACAAAGUAUUGACGUCUUAAUCUCAAUGCUUGUCAGUAAGAGCCUACAAACAUAAGCUGACUCGGCUUCCCCAAGUGAAAGAAUCAAAAUAAAAACAAAGUAACAAG
rnacentral:lncRNA from 1 species